ensembl:lncRNA
CCAAAACCUCUGCCCAUGUGCCACACCUGAUUCAUCUUACGCCAUAACUUCAGAAGAGAAACCAACUUAUCGGCCUCAUCUCUAAAAACACCCCCUUAACAUCGGCUCAUUUCCGCCUGUACUCCACAGGAGUCGCGUUUAGCUUUGGUAGCUCUGCAACAAAAAUAAUAUUUGCGGUUAAUAAUAAAUGCGCCGAGAUGCUUUGAAGUUGGAGGUUGCUGGUUCCUCUGAUCCAAGCCGGUGUUUGUACGCGCACGGGCUGUCGGUGGCUGACGCUAAGGUCCGAUGGUUCGGUGAUGACGAGGACAAUAAAGCUUCAACCCAGCAGCCCUUUCGUCCGUCUAAAAAAAAACACAAAACAAAGAGACAAGUUUAAGACUUCCUGAAUGCCAGUUGACUGUAUCAGCCACGCCUUGGUUACUGUUGCAAUGUCUGUCCGUAUUUUCACAACGAUCCCAUUUCACCCAAACUUGCUAAACAAAUUAGACUUGGCUAAUCAGGAAACAGAUGGGUUUGUGGUGUUUGUCUGCUGUUUACAUUACAUUACAGGAACCUGGUAAAGUGAUGUUUUGCGGUGUUGCAAGCCAGUAAUGGAGUAUGAACUCACUGUCCCCCAAUAGUCUCAGCUAUAGGAUGACCCUUUUAGGAGUGAACAGGGGCUCUAAAAUCAACCGCAAAUGGGAGUUGAGUUAAUUGCACGUCUAACUUUGCUAGCUGACACACAUCCAAUGAGGGGUUGGUAUAACGAUAAGUAGAAAGCAUUGCUCCAGUAGAAAUCCCCAAUUACACGUAUGCCGCUGUUAACAAGCCCAAGCCUGUGUCUGAAAAGGUGUCAAUGUGACUGUCAUGUCCAUAACUGUUUGGUGCAGGCCAUUAAGUUAAGACAUUGGUUCAAAUCUGGAUUUUACCUUCAAAUUACAUGGACAUUUACACCUAAGGACACUUUACACAUAUUCCCAUAAUGUGAGAAACCAUAACCCUGGUCUGGUCCUUCUGAUUAGCAAGUCUUACAAUGCUGGGCCUCUGUGUUAUAACCGAUGUGAUGUAUCUGAAGAAAGAAGUUUAUAUUAAAUUGCUAGCUAGCGUCAGCAGGGUAUGUGAGAGUCCAGUGUUCGGAUGUCCCUCUCAAUGCCGAAACGCUGUCACACUGCUCCAGGCACCCGCCGGUCCGGGUGCGUAUGUGGAGCUGGCGGCCGAGCGGUACUCCAUCCGAAAACUAGAGCCGGACAUUCACUUUACAAAGGCGCGCCAUGCUAAAGCUAAAAUUGCGCCGGCUCCGCUCCUCCUGCUCCAUUCCGCCUGAAAACACCCUGAACCAAAGGACCACAUGCGCCGCUGCCCGGUGGACUUCAAGGCACUUUUGAGCAUUCUGUUCAUGUUGACCGACUCCUGAGGUUUGCUAUUAGAGUGGAAGUGUUCCAUCCAUAGACACUGACCAUUAGCCUGUGUGAGUACCGGGAGAUGAGCUAGAGCACUGAUUUUUCGUUGGGACAAGGUUGGAUUCCGGAAGCCACAGAACCUAGACUUUAAAAAAAAAAAAAGAAUCAAACCAAAGAUAGGGUUGAGCAAUAAAAAAUAAAAUCAGGUCAUCUGUUUUUCUCUGUAACACUCACAGGCCAAGCUGAAGUAUUAAGGGGUGUAAGGGGUUCUGCUGUUAUACAAUAUGAUAGGAUACCCCAAGACACAUUGUCUAUGAGACUAAUCAAGCUGUAGUUGCUGUCACAGACUCCAAACUCCACGCAGCGGUCAUCUGUCACGAAAAUAGGGGUCAUUGUUUUAGACUGAACAAACCAUUUCUGUACCAAUGGGAUCUUUCUGUCCGGUCGUUUCGCACACCUCAUAUCUGUCAAUAAUA